rnacentral:tRNA from 1 species
GGAAGAUAAUCUGUAGCGGUCUACAGAGCUGUUUGCUAAACAGAUUAAUCCAUGGUCUGGGUUCUGGUUCAACUCCAGUGUCUUCCUCCA